AUGCAUCGAAAUGGAAACUUAAAAUUGUAUGAAAAAAGACAUCAAAACAUUUGUCAAAACAGUUCAAAUGUUCUACUAUUUCCCCCCCUAAAUGCCUUGUUCUUUCACUAUAAAAGUCAUCUUCAUGGACAGAAAAAUGUGAAGAAAAACUCAAGGAGAGGAAAAACAGAAAAAAGAUAG